rnacentral:rRNA from 1 species
GGCCUAACACAUGCAAGUCGAGCGGUAGAGAGAAGCUUGCUUCUCUUGAGAGCGGCGGACGGGUGAGUAAUGCCUAGGAAUCUGCCUGGUAGUGGGGGAUAACGUUCGGAAACGGACGCUAAUACCGCAUACGUCCUACGGGAGAAAGCAGGGGACCUUCGGGCCUUGCGCUAUCAGAUGAGCCUAGGUCGGAUUAGCUAGUUGGUGAGGUAAUGGCUCACCAAGGCGACGAUCCGUAACUGGUCUGAGAGGAUGAUCAGUCACACUGGAACUGAGACACGGUCCAGACUCCUACGGGAGGCAGCAGUGGGGAAUAUUGGACAAUGGGCGAAAGCCUGAUCCAGCCAUGCCGCGUGUGUGAAGAAGGUCUUCGGAUUGUAAAGCACUUUAAGUUGGGAGGAAGGGUUGUAGAUUAAUACUCUGCAAUUUUGACGUUACCGACAGAAUAAGCACCGGCUAACUCUGUGCCAGCAGCCGCGGUAAUACAGAGGGUGCAAGCGUUAAUCGGAAUUACUGGGCGUAAAGCGCGCGUAGGUGGUUUGUUAAGUUGGAUGUGAAAUCCCCGGGCUCAACCUGGGAACUGCAUUCAAAACUGACUGACUAGAGUAUGGUAGAGGGUGGUGGAAUUUCCUGUGUAGCGGUGAAAUGCGUAGAUAUAGGAAGGAACACCAGUGGCGAAGGCGACCACCUGGACUAAUACUGACACUGAGGUGCGAAA